rnacentral:rRNA from 1 species
CCAAACCAACAAGCUUGCUUGUUGGGGUUGUAGGACACUCUAUACGGAGUUACAAAGGACGACAUUAGACGAAUCAUCUGGAAAGAUGAAUCAAAGAAGGUAAUAAUCCUGUAGUCGAAAAUGUUGUCUCUCUUGAGUGGAUCCUGAGUACGACGGAGCACGUGAAAUUCCGUCGGAAUCUGGGAGGACCAUCUCCUAAGGCUAAAUACUCUCUAGUGACCGAUAGUGAACCAGUACCGUGAGGGAAAGGUGAAAAGCACCCCGGAAGGAGAGUGAAAUAGAACCUGAAACCGUGUGCUUACAAGUAGUCAGAGCCCGUUAAUGGGUGAUGGCGUGCCUUUUGUAGAAUGAACCGGCGAGUUACGAUUUGAUGCAAGGUUAAGCAGUAAAUGUGGAGCCGUAGCGAAAGCGAGUCUGAAUAGGGCGUUUAGUAUUUGGUCGUAGACCCGAAACCAGGUGAUCUACCCUUGGUCAGGUUGAAGUUCAGGUAACACUGAAUGGAGGACCGAACCGACUUACGUUGAAAAGUGAGCGGAUGAACUGAGGGUAGCGGAGAAAUUCCAAUCGAACCUGGAGAUAGCUGGUUCUCUCCGAAAUAGCUUUAGGGCUAGCCUCAAGUGAUGAUUAUUGGAGGUAGAGCACUGUUUGGACGAGGGGCCCCUCUCGGGUUACCGAAUUCAGACAAACUCCGAAUGCCAAUUAAUUUAACUUGGGAGUCAGAACAUGGGUGAUAAGGUCCGUGUUCGAAAGGGAAACAGCCCAGACCACCAGCUAAGGUCCCAAAAUAUAUGUUAAGUGGAAAAGGAUGUGGCGUUGCCCAGACAACUAGGAUGUUGGCUUAGAAGCAGCCAUCAUUUAAAGAGUGCGUAAUAGCUCACUAGUCGAGUGACACUGCGCCGAAAAUGUACCGGGGCUAAACAUAUUACCGAAGCUGUGGAUUGUCCUUUGGACAAUGGUAGGAGAGCGUUCUAAGGGCGUUGAAGCAUGAUCGUAAGGACAUGUGGAGCGCUUAGAAGUGAGAAUGCCGGUGUGAGUAGCGAAAGACGGGUGAGAAUCCCGUCCACCGAUUGACUAAGGUUUCCAGAGGAAGGCUCGUCCGCUCUGGGUUAGUCGGGUCCUAAGCUGAGGCCGACAGGCGUAGGCGAUGGAUAACAGGUUGAUAUUCCUGUACCACCUAUAAUCGUUUUAAUCGAUGGGGGGACGCAGUAGGAUAGGCGAAGCGUGCGAUUGGAUUGCACGUCUAAGCAGUAAGGCUGAGUAUUAGGCAAAUCCGGUACUCGUUAAGGCUGAGCUGUGAUGGGGAGAAGACAUUGAGUCUUCGAGUCGUUGAUUUCACACUGCCGAGAAAAGCCUCUAGAUAGAAAAUAGGUGCCCGUACCGCAAACCGACACAGGUAGUCAAGAUGAGAAUUCUAAGGUGAGCGAGCGAACUCUCGUUAAGGAACUCGGCAAAAUGACCCCGUAACUUCGGGAGAAGGGGUGCUCUUUAGGGUUAACGCCCAGAAGAGCCGCAGUGAAUAGGCCCAAGCGACUGUUUAUCAAAAACACAGGUCUCUGCUAAACCGUAAGGUGAUGUAUAGGGGCUGACGCCUGCCCGGUGCUGGAAGGUUAAGAGGAGUGGUUAGCUUCUGCGAAGCUACGAAUCGAAGCCCCAGUAAACGGCGGCCGUAACUAUAACGGUCCUAAGGUAGCGAAAUUCCUUGUCGGGUAAGUUCCGACCCGCACGAAAGGCGUAACGAUUUGGGCACUGUCUCAACGAGAGACUCGGUGAAAUCAUAGUACCUGUGAAGAUGCAGGUUACCCGCGACAGGACGGAAAGACCCCGUGGAGCUUUACUGUAGCCUGAUAUUGAAAUUCGGCACAGCUUGUACAGGAUAGGUAGGAGCCUUUGAAACGUGAGCGCUAGCUUACGUGGAGGCGCUGGUGGGAUACUACCCUAGCUGUGUUGGCUUUCUAACCCGCACCACUUAUCGUGGUGGGAGACAGUGUCAGGCGGGCAGUUUGACUGGGGCGGUCGCCUCCUAAAAGGUAACGGAGGCGCUCAAAGGUUCCCUCAGAAUGGUUGGAAAUCAUUCAUAGAGUGUAAAGGCAUAAGGGAGCUUGACUGCGAGACCUACAAGUCGAGCAGGGUCGAAAGACGGACUUAGUGAUCCGGUGGUUCCGCAUGGAAGGGCCAUCGCUCAACGGAUAAAAGCUACCCCGGGGAUAACAGGCUUAUCUCCCCCAACGAGUUCACAUCGACGGGGAGGUUUGGCACCUCGAUGUCGGCUCAUCGCAUCCUGGGGCUGUAGUCGGUCCCAAGGGUUGGGCUGUUCGCCCAUUAAAGCGGUACGCGAGCUGGGUUCAGAACGUCGUGAGACAGUUCGGUCCCUAUCCGUCGUGGGCGUAGGAAAUUUGAGAGGAGCUGUCCUUAGUACGAGAGGACCGGGAUGGACAUACCUCUGGUGUACCAGUUGUCGUGCCAACGGCAUAGCUGGGUAGCUAUGUGUGGACGGGAUAAGUGCUGAAAGCAUCUAAGCAUGAAGCCCCCCUCAAGAUGAGAUUUCCCAACUUCGGUUAUAAGAUCCCUCAAAGAUGAUGAGGUUAAUAGGUUCGAGGUGGAAGCAUGGUGACAUGUGGAGCUGACGAAUACUAAUCGAUCGAAGACUUAAUCAA